rnacentral:rRNA from 1 species
AAACCGCUUAGAGGUAAACGGGUGGAUCCGCAAAGUCGGCCCGGGGAAUUCAACUUGCCGUGUCUGGGCGGCGGACGGUUGAGAUGGGAUCCGUAAGGACUCGCUCGGCUGUUUGGCUGUCGUCGGCGAGUGCACUUUCCUCGGGUAGAGCGCCACGACCGAUUGGGGAGCGGUCAGAAGCCGGUCGAGAAGGUGACCUGCCGUCUUCGGACGGGAGGUGUUAUAGCUCGGCCUGGUCGGCUCGUUUCCCGAUCGAGGACUUGCCGCGCUCGUUCGCUCUUGGCUCACGGCUCGCGUUCGACUGGGGAUGCACUGCUUGCAGUUCUCUCCGACCGCGUGGGUCGUUUCGGCUGGGUCAGCGGCGGGCGCUUCUGGUCGGUGGCGAAUCGGUCGGUCCUCCACCCGACCCGUCUUGAAACACGGACCAAGGAGUCUAACAUGUGCGCGAGUCAUGGGGUUCUGUACGAAACCUAAAGGCACAAUGAAAGUGAAGGCCGGACUCCGUUCGGCUUGGGUAGGAUCUCUGCGGCCGUGCCCGCGGAGCGCACUACCGGCCCGUCCCGACUACAUCGUUGGUGGGGCGGAGCAAGAGCGUACACGUUGGGACCCGAAAGAUGGUGAACUAUGCCUGAGUAGGACGAAGCCAG